rnacentral:tRNA from 1 species
GGCCGUGUGGCUCAGUGGAUAGAGCGUCGGUUUGUGGACUGAAAGGUCCCAGGUUUGAUUCCUGUCAAGGGCA